rnacentral:misc_RNA from 1 species
CAGGACUCGCAAGACUCCUACAACCCUGUGAACCUACUAUACGAACGUUGCUUCGGCGGGUGCGCCCCGGGGAUUCGUUCCCGCGGCGCGUCAGCCCGCCGGCAGCCUACAAUUCUGUUUCUUUGCGUUGGCAUCUCGAGAAAAACAAAUAAGUUA